AUUCAUCUGACGAGUCCCAAAUAGGACGAAACGCGCGUCCUGGAU
rfam:Schistosoma mattheei strain Denwood, Zambia genome assembly, scaffold: SMTD_scaffold0001991